rnacentral:lncRNA from 14 species
AGCUCAGUGAUAUUUUUCCUUUGGCAAAACCUGCAGGGAUGUGCUGGAUACACUUUGCCUGGAAUCAAAGUUCCUGAUGUGUUUGGGACUUUUAUCAUCACCUACUUCAGAAUGAACGGAAGGUGGGAACUGCUGUUCUCUCCAAGCACUUCUCCAUCAUUUUUGUAAGUUUGCUAUAGCUUAUAACAAAUGCUAUCUCCAAGUUGCCUGGAGCAUGUUUGGAGCAUUUGCUGCCUGGACAGUGAAAUCAGUGGCAUUAUUUACUUUGAAUCCUGUAUAAAUCUCUGCUGUGCUCUCUGUGCCUUGAUUCCCACAGGUUCCCUGAGCUGGAGUUUCACAAUGAGGAUGUUCCUGGAGCAUCUGAGGACAGCCUGCUCCAUGGGGUGCAUCCCUCCAAGGGAGACAGAGAGGGAAGUGCCAAAGAUGCCAACGGGUCCAGCUCUGCAUCAGGAAAGCCUGAAGAGCCCCGAUUCAGCCAAAGCCCACUCAUCACUCACCUCCGAGCACCCCAACAGCCCUGGGAGGAGGCUGCGCAUCCCUGGAGCGAGCGAAAAUCAAGACCUGGAGCAAAAAAUCAUUUGUCCUUCGGUGCUUCAGAAAGAAUCAAGCAGAUACGGCUGUGGAAGAGCAAGACCUUCCCCUGAUGGGACAACACAAGCAGUUGGGUGUUGUUCGUGGCUGCUUUGGGAGUGCCGUCAGCCAUAACAGAGCGGGAGGUGUAACACAGAGAAGAGCUAAUAAGUGACCUUUGCAGGAGUGUGAUCAAGUCAAG